UACAGAGGGUGCGAGCGUUAAUCGGAAUUACUGGGCGUAAAGCGUGCGCAGGCGGUUUCUUAAGUCAGAUGUGAAAGCCCCGGGCUUAACCUGGGACUGCGUUUGAUACGGAUGGGCUAGAGUUCGGGAGAGGAGAGUGGAAUUCCCAGUGUAGAGGUGAAAUUCGUAGAGAUUGGGAAGAACACCAGUGGCGAAGGCGGCUAUCUGGACGGUUUCUGACACUAAGACACGAAAGCGUGGGGAGCAACAGG
rnacentral:rRNA from 1 species